rnacentral:lncRNA from 1 species
UUGGCAAAGAGUUAGCCAUUAUAAAAAUGAAUCUAGGGGCCGGCCCUGGGGCCAAGCGGUUAAGUUCGAGUGCUCCACUUCGCCGGCCCAGGGUUUCGAUAGUUCGGAUCCCGGGAUUGGACAUGGCACCGCUCAUCAGGCCAUGCUGAGGCAGCGUCCCACAUAGCACAGCUAGAAGGACCUACAACUAGAAUAUGCAACUAUGGACUGGACAGCUUUGGGGAGAAGAAGGGAAAAAAAAGAUUGGCAACAGAUGUUAGCUCAGGUGCCAAUCUUUAAAGAAAAAUAAUGAAUCGAACAGAUUUUUAAAAGAAUCAAGUAGAAAUUCUAGAACCUAAAAUUCCCUCUCCCCCCCCAAAAUAGCUCAAUACAUAAGUUUAACACCAUAGAAGAGAGAAUUAGUAAUCUAGAAAAUAUAAAAAAAGAGAAGGUAAGAGAAACAGUGGAUGGAAAAGAUCUGACAGACACCUAAUUGGAGUUACAGAAGGAGAGAAGAAAGUGGGGGCAGAAGCAGCAUGUGAAGAGGUAACGGCUGAAAAUUUCCCAGAACCCAUGAAAGGCACUGAUCAACACAUUCAGGAGGUCCGGUGUAUCUCAAGCACCAUAAAUAAAAAGGAACACGCUCCCAAACAUACAUAGCACAGGAGCAGAAAUCAAACCUACGAGAAGAACACCUUAUAAAGCAGCCAGCGGGAAAACCCCACGGCCCGAAAGCAGCAGGCGCACCGGCAGCUGCCUUUUCGGGGGCAUCCGGUUUAGGGGCGGUGAAGGCACACGGACGGCCUCCACCCUCACGGCUCCUCCCCUCGCCCCGCUCCCGCACUUAACCUCGGGAUCACCACGGGCCCACCCGGACACCCCAGGCUCUCCCUCCGCCAGGAUCCUGCAGCAUCUCUGCAACGUCCCUUUCGCCGGGGAGGGCAACCCGCCCCCAGCUCCGCGGUGGACGUGGCAUCUGACGGGCCGCUGUUGCGGCGACCCCAUCAUCCACGGAACACACGCCCUCGCCCCGGAUCCUAAGCGGCUCUUUGCUGCCUUGAAGCCCCCGGGAAACAGGGCAUCUUACUUCCCAGCGGCACAGCAGCGCGGGGCUCUGCCUGUUAACCCGUCUAACCCUCCCCAACCUCCCUCCUUGCGGGGCCGACGCUGCCGCCGCGACUCUGCAGGU